GGUUAAGCGACUAAGCGUACACGGUGGAUGCCCUGGCAGUCAGAGGCGAUGAAGGACGUGCUAAUCUGCGAAAAGCGUCGGUAAGGUGAUAUGAACCGUUACAGCCGGCGAUGUCCGAAUGGGGAAACCCAGUGCAAUUCGUUGCACUAUCGUUAACUGAAUACAUAGGUUAACGAGGCGAACCGGGGGAACUGAAACAUCUAAGUACCCCGAGGAAAAGAAAUCAACCGAGAUUCCCCCAGUAGCGGCGAGCGAACGGGGAGCAGCCCAGAGUCUGAAUCAGCUUGUGUGUUAGUGGAACGGUCUGGAAAGUCCGACGGUACAGGGUGAUAGUCCCGUACACCAAAAUGCACAGGUUGUGAACUCGAAGAGUAGGGCGGGACACGUGGUAUCCUGUCUGAAUAUGGGGGGACCAUCCUCCAAGGCUAAAUACUCCUGACUGACCGAUAGUGAACCAGUACCGUGAGGGAAAGGCGAAAAGAACCCCGGCGAGGGGAGUGAAAAAGAACCUGAAACCGUGUACGUACAAGCAGUGGGAGCACCCUUUAGGGUGUGACUGCGUACCUUUUGUAUAAUGGGUCAGCGACUUAUAUUCUGUAGCAAGGUUAACCGUAUAGGGGAGCCGCAGGGAAACCGAGUCUUAACUGGGCGUUAAGUUGCAGGGUAUAGACCCGAAACCCGGUGAUCUAGCCAUGGGCAGGUUGAAGGUUGGGUAACACUAACUGGAGGACCGAACCGACUAAUGUUGAAAAAUUAGCGGAUGACUUGUGGCUGGGGGUGAAAGGCCAAUCAAACCGGGAGAUAGCUGGUUCUCCCCGAAAGCUAUUUAGGUAGCGCCUCGUGAAUUCAUCUUCGGGGGUAGAGCACUGUUUCGGCUAGGGGGUCAUCCCGACUUACCAACCCGAUGCAAACUACGAAUACCGAAGAAUGUUAUCACGGGAGACACACGGCGGGUGCUAACGUCCGUCGUGAAGAGGGAAACAACCCAGACCGCCAGCUAAGGUCCCAAAGUCACAGUUAAGUGGGAAACGAUGUGGGAAGGCACAGACAGCCAGGAUGUUGGCUUAGAAGCAGCCAUCAUUUAAAGAAAGCGUAAUAGCUCACUGGUCGAGUCGGCCUGCGCGGAAGAUGUAACGGGGCUAAACUGUGCACCGAAGCUGCGGCAGCGACACUAUGUGUUGUUGGGUAGGGGAGCGUUCUGUAAGCCUGCGAAGGUGGCCUGUGAGGGUUGCUGGAGGUAUCAGAAGUGCGAAUGCUGACAUAAGUAACGAUAAUGCGGGUGAAAAGCCCGCACGCCGGAAGACCAAGGGUUCCUGUCCAACGUUAAUCGGGGCAGGGUGAGUCGACCCCUAAGGCGAGGCCGAAAGGCGUAGUCGAUGGGAAACAGGUUAAUAUUCCUGUACUUGGUGUUACUGCGAAGGGGGGACGGAGAAGGCUAUGUUAGCCGGGCGACGGUUGUCCCGGUUUAAGCAUGUAGGCGGAGGUUCCAGGUAAAUCCGGUACCUUUUAACGCUGAGGUGUGAUGACGAGGCACUACGGUGCUGAAGUAACAAAUGCCCUGCUUCCAGGAAAAGCCUCUAAGCAUCAGGUAACAUUAAAUCGUACCCCAAACCGACACAGGUGGUCAGGUAGAGAAUACCAAGGCGCUUGAGAGAACUCGGGUGAAGGAACUAGGCAAAAUGGUGCCGUAACUUCGGGAGAAGGCACGCUGAUAUGUAGGUGAAGCCCCUGCGGGUGGAGCUGAAAUCAGUCGAAGAUACCAGCUGGCUGCAACUGUUUAUUAAAAACACAGCACUGUGCAAACACGAAAGUGGACGUAUACGGUGUGACGCCUGCCCGGUGCCGGAAGGUUAAUUGAUGGGGUUAUCCGUAAGGAGAAGCUCUUGAUCGAAGCCCCGGUAAACGGCGGCCGUAACUAUAACGGUCCUAAGGUAGCGAAAUUCCUUGUCGGGUAAGUUCCGACCUGCACGAAUGGCGUAAUGAUGGCCAGGCUGUCUCCACCCGAGACUCAGUGAAAUUGAACUCGCUGUGAAGAUGCAGUGUACCCGCGGCAAGACGGAAAGACCCCGUGAACCUUUACUAUAGCUUGACACUGAACAUUGAGCCUUGAUGUGUAGGAUAGGUGGGAGGCUUUGAAGCGUGGACGCCAGUCUGCGUGGAGCCAACCUUGAAAUACCACCCUUUAAUGUUUGAUGUUCUAACGUUGGCCCCUGACCGGGGUUGCGGACAGUGUCUGGUGGGUAGUUUGACUGGGGCGGUCUCCUCCCAAAGAGUAACGGAGGAGCACGAAGGUUAGCUAAUCCUGGUCGGACAUCAGGAGGUUAGUGCAAUGGCAUAAGCUAGCUUGACUGCGAGCGUGACGGCGCGAGCAGGUGCGAAAGCAGGUCAUAGUGAUCCGGUGGUUCUGAAUGGAAGGGCCAUCGCUCAACGGAUAAAAGGUACUCCGGGGAUAACAGGCUGAUACCGCCCAAGAGUUCAUAUCGACGGCGGUGUUUGGCACCUCGAUGUCGGCUCAUCACAUCCUGGGGCUGAAGUAGGUCCCAAGGGUAUGGCUGUUCGCCAUUUAAAGUGGUACGCGAGCUGGGUUUAGAACGUCGUGAGACAGUUCGGUCCCUAUCUGCCGUGGGCGCUGGAGAAUUGAGGGGGGCUGCUCCUAGUACGAGAGGACCGGAGUGGACGCAUCACUGGUGUUCGGGUUGUCAUGCCAAUGGCAUUGCCCGGUAGCUAAAUGCGGAAGAGAUAAGUGCUGAAAGCAUCUAAGCACGAAACUUGCCCCGAGAUGAGUUCUCCCUGAGACUUUAAGUCUCCUGAAGGAACGUUAAAGACGAUGACGUUGAUAGGUCGGGUGUGUAAGCGUAGCGAUACGUUGAGCUAACCGAUACUAAUGAACCGUGAGGCUUAACCUU
rnacentral:rRNA from 1 species